UCUCCGUAGGUGAACCUGCGGAAGGAUCAUUAUUGUAUAACCGAGGUGCGAGGGCUGUCGCUGACCCGAAAGGUCGUGCACGCCCGAGUGCCCUCACACACAUCCAUCUCACCCCUAUGUGCACCACCGCGUGGGUCCCCCUUUGGCUUGUUCGGAGGGGGGCUUACGUUUUCACACAAACUUUGUAUGCAGUGUAGAAUGUAUUUUUUGUUUUUGCGAUCACGCAAUCAAUACAACUUUCAACAACGGAUCUCUAGGCUCUCGCAUCGAUGAAAAAGCAGC
rnacentral:misc_RNA from 1 species